AAUCCAUGAUGUGGGCAAUCACGUUCAUACUCCUUAAAACGUUCCCAGGCUUCAUAGAAAAGUUCAGUCGGUCCUUACUGAAAGCUUGAGAUACUAUAGAAGUGAUU
rnacentral:snoRNA from 1 species